UACGAAGGGGGCUAGCGUUGUUCGGAUUUACUGGGCGUAAAGCGCACGUAGGCGGAUCGUUAAGUCGGGGGUGAAAUCCUGGAGCUCAACUCCAGAACUGCCUUCGAUACUGGCGAUCUCGAGUCCGGAAGAGGUGAGUGGAACUCCUAGUGUAGAGGUGGAAUUCGUAGAUAUUAGGAAGAACACCAGUGGCGAAGGCGGCCUCUCUGGGACGGUACUGACGCUGAGACGCGAAAGCGGUGGGGAGCGAACGAG
rnacentral:rRNA from 1 species